CGCUGAUUUUCUCGCACCCGUUCGUAGGGGCCGCCAUCUUUGAUCUUCUAUUGCCGGUGCAAGAGGACUACCGCACGGAUUGGCGAAUGUGCCGUGCCAGGUGGAUUUUGAUUAGCUGGGAGGGCUGUCAAUCAAACGAUCACACGUCUGAAGAAUUCCAGCCUGCGCUCUGCCUCGGUGCAGUUGUUCGAUUUCCUCGUUGACCGCGACCCCUGUAACUGUGGAAAGCGACGUUGGUUUGGACGACCUCUUUAGGGCUGUAAUGAUGAGGGUAAACCUUUUGAGGCCCGGGCUGUCACGCUGGAUUAAACUGGAGACACAGAAAGUGAUUAACACGCUGGCUUGAAUGACACUCUGUCACCGAGACCCAACUUUAAAUCCUCGCAUUGGUUCUUUUCACACAUCGUAUAAAGCCGGACACAUUACCAUGUGGUAUUCUCGUGUGGUAUCGUCUGGUGGCACUACACAUCAGACUCGGGUAGGAGGUGUAGCUCGAGGACAUCAGGACUUGCGUCGACAGUGAAUCGCUCUUUACAGGAAGGAAAUAUCACAGGAACAGGAAGUGAGCAUGUCCUCAAUACAUUCGAUGUUUUGUGGGUGUGUGAGGAUGGUUGUCCUUGAUGUCCAUUGUAUCAGUGAACUCGAUCUUUAAUUUAAAGACUGUUUAACAAUACAAACACACACACACACACACACACACACACACACACACACACACCACCACCUAUAAGAAUCAAGAAUUCAUUGAAGAAUCACGUGAAAAUAAAGAAAUGAUGUGUAAAAAAACUAA